ACCCCUCCUGCGUGGGGGCUUCCCUUUGGAGAAGACUCCUUUUUUACAUGGAUCUCUAUGUGGAUCAUUCCGAAGUCCCUACUUCUACUUUGUUUGUUUGUAUGUGUGUGAGCGGAGCUUAAUUUCCUUAUUCCUAUAUUAUCGCAGCGAAACCGGAAUUAACACGAUACAUCUCCUGGAAGAUCUCUCGGUCUUCGCUUUUCGUCACUCAGGCCUCCGUUUGGGCUUUACACACCAUAGCCAGGCUAUUGUGUGACCUGCAUGCAGUAGCUGUCAUGACUAUGAAGAAGGUGAUAGUGAAGCGGAACAUGUUGAUGCCGUACACGAUUAGGAGGGAAAGUAGAGCUGGCACUACUAAUUGAGGAGCUUAUUGGGAGUAUUAUCAGGAGUCUCAUAUUAUUGUCAGCCGGUGUGUCAAAACACAUUAAUGCAUCAGAAUAAAAUAAAUAAAAUCAGAUGAGAGGGAUUUGUGUGUGUGCGUGCGUGUGUGAGUGUGUGUGUGUGUUUGUGCGUGCAUGCCGACUUGCGUUUGGAACAUAUGCAAGCAACGUCCUGACACUUAAAUUAAUAUUUUUUCAUUUGGCCUCGUAAUAAUAAUGCUUUUAAGUGGGGCUUACUGAUAGUCUCUUUUUUCUCCAGUCAGCUGUCACAGAUCCAUCAUCAUCAUUGCUCUUAAAAUCCCAGAUAAAAGCAGGUUUGUAUGAGGGUAUGCAGAAAAGCAAGUAUAAGGGAAACCUCCAGUUGAAUAGAUGGCAAGCCUUUCUGCCAUAAAGCUAGUAGACCAGUGUAGAUCUAUUUGUCCGCAAUCUACGGAGCAAUGAAAACUGUUUAUCCAAAGUAGACUGAAUAACGGCAGGAUUUCCUCAGAAGAGAAUAUCUAUUUGCUUUACUUCCAGCCGGAUUGGGUUCGAGCGAAAAAUAACUUUUUGAUUGGCCGUUUAACAACAUAUGGCCACGCCCAUACUUGGAAAUCAAUCGCUGCUCAGCCAACACCACGACUGAUUCACCUUGUGAAACGCCACCAUUACCAUCACGACGGUCCCGUGAGGCUCGGUGGGGAGCAUUGGUGGCAGGGAAAUAGCAAUGACAAGACCCCUUAAGGUUGCAGCUGAUAACCCCCCCCCGGGUGUGAUGGAGCAUACCCAAACUGAAAGCGACGAGUUCACGAGGGAAAAGCUCAAACACUGUGAUUACGCGUUCACAGGCCAUCAACAACCCAACACGUUAUCCCGUCGAAGUGGGUCAACCAUGCAUGCUAGGAACAAGUAGAGUGCAGGACGACCUUGCACGAUGGCUCCGUGUCGCCAGCCAUCAGUGAGAAGGAUGAGGGUGGUAAACCUCCCGGAGAAGUUGCCAUCGCUUUCCACUUCCUGGAGGUCCGCGGUUUUGACUUUGACCCGGGCGUGGCCCUGGCGUUGUGGGCCAGGGCGUGGUGGUUUUGGGUCGUGGUGUAGUUGGCGGGUGGAGGGGCCAGGGAGAGGCCAGCCAUAUAGAAAGACAUGGCGUCCGUGCAAUGGCACGGACGUGGCCCUGUCUGUCUUGGAGCCCUGCCAGGAUGCUGUUGGUUUGACUUACACUUGACUUAAGCUCCAGAUGUUCUGAGCAAAAGCUGCUGUUUGUAGUGUGUUGGUGCUUGUGUGUGUGUGUGUGUGUGUGUGUGUGUGUGUGUGUGUGUGUGUGUGUGUGUGUGUGUGUGUGUGUGUGUGUGUGUGUGUGUGUGUGUGUGUGUGUGUUUCUGCGAGUAAAGUGACAUGUAGAUUCUAAUGAUGUUUUGGAACAGUUUGAUGCGUGAUGCUGUGUGGUGGUUUCGAGGUGAUUUCAUUCUGUGCUAUAAGAACACAAGGACACAUCAUAAUAAAGGACAUCGAUAAUGAUCAUGAUAAUACAACGUGUGUUUGUGGAUUUAUCAGUGUGCCUUUGAUCGGAACAUCAACCUGGCUUUGAUGACUUAAUAGUAAGGUGUACUAUGAAUCAGGCGGCAAUGAAAAGAUCAGAAUCACAACUCUUUAUUCAUUUCUUUAUUAAAAUAUUAAUAAAAAGAUAAAUGCAGAUAAUACAGAUAUCUAGGGAGUGUUUAGGGAAUUAUGGAUACCGUUCUGAUGUCCAUGUUGGUUGUUAUGUUACACAUUUGCAUUGAAUUACCCAUGAGCAAGCCAUUUAGAACUUUUUUAAAUCAGUUUACCGACAAACGACACAACAUUGGCGCCUAUUGCAAUUCAAAUGCGUUAGAAAUGACUCUUCUCUUGCCUUACAGUCCCCUAAUUAUCUAUGAUGACUUAAUUAUUAUGUCUGUAAAGAAUGGCCCCUCUCAUUUAAGACUGCAUUCAUCUUUCUCAGCCUUUUCUUUUUUCCAGCCUCCAUCCUUAUUCAAUUAAAGGUACGGUAGCCCAGAGUCCUAAUUUCCUAUUGAGUUUUGUAAAGCACGGACAUAAUGUGUCUCUGUGCCCUGCAAGAGUAAUGACUCAUUCUGGGAAACACAGUGCCCCUGAGUAUAUAGAAAUACACAUAUCCCUAUACACAUUCAACUUAUAUGGAGCAGCUAACAUUUAUAAUAGUGCUUACCCUUUUUUUUUUUUUUCUAACGACAAGUCGUGAAGUGUUAACCACAGCCAAAUAAUAAAGCAGUUUAAGGGACAUUUAAGGCGAGUUUAAGGAUCUAUAAACUGACACUCUGUUUCUGCGGAACAUACGCCACCGCAUAUUAUUAUAAUGGAUCAUUUUACUAAACCGCACACACUAACACACGUAUACACCCACGCACGCAAGUACAUACACUCACGCACACAAGGAAUCCAUGCACACACACACACACACACACACACACACACACACACACACACACACACACACACACACACACACACACACACACACACACACACACACACACACACACACACAACAUGA